UACGAGAGGCCCAAACGUUAUUCGGAUUUACUGGGCUUAAAGAGUUCGUAGGCGGCUUGGAAAGUGGGGUGUGAAAGCCCUCGGCUUAACCGAGGAAUUGCGCUCCAAACUCCCAAGCUUGAGGAAGCUAGAGGUGAGCAGAACAGAUGGUGGAGCGGUGAAAUGCAUUGAUAUCAUCUGGAAUACCGGAGGCGAAGGCGGCUCACUGGGACUUUUCUGACGCUGAGGAACGAAAGCCAGGGUAGCGAACGGG
rnacentral:rRNA from 1 species